AUGGCUGUCGUCAGCUCGUGUCGUGAGAUGUUGGGUUAAGUCCCGCAACGAGCGCAACCCUUGUCCUUAGUUGCUACGCAAGGGCACUCUAAGGAGACUGCCGGUGACAAACCGGAGGAAGGUGGGGAUGACGUCAAGUCCUCAUGGCCCUUAUGGGUAGGGCUUCACACGUCAUACAAUGGUCGGUACAGAGGGUAGCCAACCCGCGAGGGGGAGCCAAUCCCAGAAAGCCGAUCGUAGUCCGGAUCGCAGUCUGCAACUCGACUGCGUGAAGUCGGAAUCGCUAGUAAUCGCGGAUCAGCAUGUCGCGGUGAAUACGUUCCCGGGUCUUGUACACACCGCCCGUCACACCAUGGGAGUGGAAUCCGCCAGAAGUAGGUAGUCUAACCGCAAGGGGGACGCUUACCACGGUAGGUUUCAUGACUGGGGUGAAGUCGUAACAAGGUAGCCGUAUCGGAAGGUGCGGCUGGAUCACCUCCUUUCUCGAGAAGAAGGCUGUGGCCGAGCAUGGCUGGCGGAUGGGUAACACCAUUGGCUGGUAUGCCUGGUGGCGGCCGAGUCUGGAGCAGUGCUUACAACCUAUCGGUUGUGCCGGUGAGGGCGGGUCUGUAGCUCAGUUGGUUAGAGCACCGUCUUGAUAAGGCGGGGGUCGGUGGUUCGAGCCCACCCAGACCCACCAUUAUCAGAAGACAGAGGACAGAAGGCAGAGGACAGAUGGCAAGCGCCGCAGCAGUGCGUCGUGACUGUCUUCUGACUUCUGUCUUCUGUCCUCUGACGGGGGUGUAGCUCAGUUGGGAGAGCACCUGCUUUGCAAGCAGGGGGUCAUCGGUUCGAUCCCGUUCACCUCCACCAGCCAGAGGACAGAAGGCAGAGGACAGAGGACAGAUAGAGCGCGGAGCGGUGACUUUCGUUACUGUCUUUUGACAAGAAGGUAGAACCCAGGGUACCGGGAGGCUGCGGUGGCUUGUGUUCUGGUCUUUUUGGACUAGAAGUAAUUGGUUGUUCUUUAAAAACUAGGAAGAGGUAAAGGUCUAUUCUUCAGGGCAACCUGGGGGAUGGAUUGGGUAAGAUUGUAAGGAACACCAUUCCGGCUUUAGUCAGCGACGGGAUGGUGGCAAACACCUGAUGUUAUGACGUGGGGUACGUAAGUGCUUAGCGUUAUAGGAUCAAGCGAAUAAGUGCAUAGGGUGGAUGCCUUGGCGAUCACAGGCGAAGAAGGACGUCGUAGCGUGCGAAAAGUUUCGGGGAGCCCGCAACCAGGCUUUGAUCCGGAAAUGUCCGAAUGGGGAAACCCGG
rnacentral:sRNA from 1 species